rnacentral:rRNA from 1 species
UACAGAGGUCUCAAGCGUUGUUCGGAUUCAUUGGGCGUAAAGGGUGUGUAGGUGGCGCGUUAAGUCGGGUGUGAAAUUUCGGAGCUUAACUCCGAAACUGCAUUCGAUACUGGCGUGCUUGAGGACUGGAGAGGAGACUGGAAUUUACGGUGUAGCGGUGAAAUGCGUAGAUAUCGUAAGGAAGACCAGUGGCGAAGGCGGGUCUCUGGACAGUUCCUGACGCUGAGGCACGAAAGCCAGGGGAGCAAACGGG